GACGUAGGGGGCGAGUGUUAUCCGGAAUCAUUGGGCGUAAAGCGCAUGCAGGCGGGCUGCCAAGUUCAUACUGACAAUUCCCGGCUUAACCGAGAGAGGUGUGUGAAAACUGGCAGACUUGAGAGCGAGAGAGGGACAUGGAAUUCCAGGUGGAGCAGUGAAAUGCGUAGAGAUCUGGAGGAACACCAAAGGCGUAGGCAGUGCCCUGGCUCGUUUCUGACGCUCAGGUGCGAAAGCCAGGGGAGCGAACGGG
rnacentral:rRNA from 1 species